rnacentral:misc_RNA from 1 species
GAUGAAGAACGCAGCGAAAUGCGAUACGUAAUGUGAAUUGCAGAAUACAGUGAAUCAUCGAAUCUUUGAACGCACAUUGCGCCUGCCAGCACUCUGGCAGGCAUGCCUGUUCGAGCGUCAUUUCAACCAUCAAGCCCUAGGCUUGCGUUGGAGCCCUGCGGCUGCCGCAGGCCCCUAAAAGCAGUGGCGGGCUCGCUAUCACACCGAGUGCAGUAGAUUACUCUUCGCUCAGGGCGUGUGGCGGGUUCCAGCCGUGAAACCCCCUACUUCUCAAGGUUGACCUCGGAUCAGGUAGGAAUACCCGCUGAACUUAAGCAUAUCAUAAGCGGAGGA